UUAGAGAUUGAUGAUACACCUUUAUGAAAGCUUAUAAGUUUUCAUUUGUAAACCCGGCCGGUGGAUUUUGUAUCCGACACAUGAAAUAAGUUAAUCGAAAGUCUAAAGAAAAUAAUCAAUAAAUUAAAUCGUCAGUAAUUUAAUUUAUUUAAUUAGUAUCUGAGUCUUAACAUGAGGAGUUAAAUAAGAUUUAAUGGAUGAAUUUCGAAAUUGGAUAAGGAGUGCAGUUACGGAUUUUUAGUGGAAUAAUU
rnacentral:lncRNA from 1 species